UACAGAGGGUGCGAGCGUUGUCCGGAAUCACUGGGCGUAAAGGGCGCGUAGGCGGCCCCUUAAGCGUGCGGUGAAAGCCCGGGGCUCAACCCCGGGUCGGCCGUGCGGACUGGGGGGCUGGAGCCGAUCAGAGGCAGGCGGAAUUCCGGGUGUAGCGGUGGAAUGCGUAGAGAUCCGGAAGAACAUCGGUGGCGAAGGCGGCCUGCUGGGGUCGUGGCUGACGCUGAGGCGCGACAGCGUGGGGAGCAAACAGG
rnacentral:rRNA from 1 species